ACAUGAUUAUUACUGGCUUACCAUUUGAUGGGAGCACAGUUGAUGAUGAUAUCACUGAGAUCAAUCCUUUUCCUGAUUAUAAAUGUGCUGAGCCUAGUAUGUUUUUUGAUGUGGCUGAGGAAUGUGUGAUGCUACCUUUUCUUGAAGACACUGCCAAAGUCAGCAAUUCCAAUGAUACGAUAUCUAGUGAAGAAGGCGCAGUAGAUCAGGAUAAUGCUAGCUUGUACUUAGCAAUUAAUCAGAUACGAUCAUGCAACCACGAAUCUGAUCUUAACAGUGAUUCAGACCAGGUAGAAGACUUUGAUCCUCAGUUCUUUAUCAAAAA
rnacentral:misc_RNA from 1 species